UCCCUUCUGGAGCGUCUACUUCCCCACUCAACUUGGUGUCAUCAGCGAACUUCAUCAGGCUACACUUGAUGCCAGUAUCCAGAUCACUUAUAAAGAUGUUGAACAACAUUGGGCCCAAUAUCGAUCCCUGGGGGACUCCACUAGUGACAGGUUGCCAGUUUGAGAAAGAGCUAUUUACUACCCCCCUGUGGGUGCGGCCUGUCAGCCAGUUCCCCACCCACUGCACAGACCACUUGUCUAGGCCAUAUCAUAUUAAUUUCUCCAGGAGGAGGCUGUGGGGGACCGUAUCAAAGGCCUUGGAGAAGUCCAGGUAGACAAUGUCCACCGCCCGCAACAUGUCAACCAGGCAAGUCACUUUGUCAUAGAAGGCCACCAGGUUUGUCAAGCACGAUCUGCCUUUAGUGAAGCCAUGUUGGCUUUUCCCAAUCACAUGCUUCAGUUGACUUGUGAUGGCCCCCAGGAGGAUUUGUUCCAUAACUUUCCCAGGGAUUGAAGUAAGGCUGGUGGGCCUAUAGUUACCCGGAUCCUCCCUCGAGCCCUUCUUGUAGAUAGGGGUAACAUUUGCCUUCCUCCAGUCCUCUGGGACAUCUCCUCCCUGACUGUUUGUGGAAGGUAAGAUGCCUUAGAAGCUGACUGUCUCUCCCUGAACUAUGCAUGGAAUGUGGGGGAAGACACCCCAAAAAGUAAGGGAUUUUGUCCAAACUAUGUGUCUGAUCUAACUCUGUUUCUCCCAGGGAGACCACCUGUUUUUGGGCAGCAAUGGGGAGCAGGCCUGAGGGCCCUUACAGGCCCUAAUUGCUCUGAGCAGCCUCACCUGGGUCCCUCCCACCACCAUUAACCUUCAUCUGAGGAGCUAUUCUUUUCCUGUCUGUGGAUGGUGAGGACUUGUCUCCACCAAGGACAGGACACAGACUUCAUGGCAACUGCCCUGCACAAAUUGCUGUGUGCCAGACUGACAGGUGUAUGAGGACUGGAUGAUCACCUUUCUGGCGGAAUGCAGAAGUGAAAUAAGGAGAUAUGUGGGCUUUUCCCCGCUGAUGAAAAGCUUUUACUGACAUGGGGCAGUGUGGCCACUGUUGGCAAGGGGCUCUGAUUGUCCUCUAAAACUGCCAAGGGUGUGGAGGGAGAUGUGGGCAACUUUACUGAAACUGCUCCUCUGACCUCAGGAGUAAGAUGCCAAAUGCCUCCAUUAUCCUGGAUGUGUCGGAGUGAGGCCUCAAAGGUUGCAGGUAUGGAAGAGGGGCACCGAUGGGCCCAAGUGAAGCCAUGGCAUGCCACUUUCUUAGUGUACCUCUCCUCCUGCCAUUGCGAGCAGGUCGAAGGACCCUCUUGAAGAAAGAUCUUAUUGCAAAAUACUCCCAGGUGAGGAAAACUGCAUUUUGUUAGCAAGCGUCUUUCACCCAAUGUAUGUGUUUGUUGCCGUGGGUGGAAGGACUUGCUGUGCUGGACUGCCAGGGAGUUAUUCCUUUGUUUGCAGUGCUCUUUCGAGUACAGGGCCAUGCUGAAAGGCAAAGCUCCCCAGCUGCUAGGCAGCAUCAUUUUUUCCAUGCCACAUCUUCAGCAUUUGCACCAUUUCUGGGAGGAAUAGAAAGCUGGGCUGACAUGAUAGUAAAUAGACAAGAUCCAGGCACUGCAGCUGUGGGGGACACUGGACUGAAUCUUGCAAAGAACAGGCAAGUCUUUGCAGGUCUGAGGUACGCUUGAUAAAGCAGGAAAUAGCUCUGUAAAAGCCUGGUGCACUGGCCAUGGUACCAUGCUUAAAAGGGCCCCAUGUUCCUCCCUGAGAUUGCCACGUACCUUCGGUGUCUUGCCUGGUCUGGGGAGAGAUGUGUUCUUGCUGAUAGUCAGCAGUUCUUCUCCUGCCUGAGACUGGUGAAUUCAUAGCUCUGAGACACACGCUAAGGCAGCAUCCUCACUCAGUUACAAAUCAUCUAUGCUUUCUCAGUCCUGUGCUUCCCAGACCUCAAUAAUUUCAUCAUUCCAUCUGAACAGGAGUUUUACUUUGUUAAAUUCAGGGAGUGCCACUGAUGGCUGCAGUCUUUUAUCCUGGCCUUCUCAUUUUCUGCCAAACCCAUAAUGAAUGGUUAAUCUCAGUAUGUUGCAGAGUGCAACUACCUGUUUCUUUUGCUUGUAAUAAAAUGUAUACCAUUUGAUCUGA